UUUUAAAUUGAGAGUUUGAUCCUGGCUCAGGACGAACGCUGGCGGCGUGCCUAACACAUGCAAGUCGAGCGAUGAAACUUCCUUCGGGAAGUGGAUUAGCGGCGGACGGGUGAGUAACACGUGGGUAACCUGCCUCAAAGAGGGG
rnacentral:rRNA from 1 species